rnacentral:rRNA from 1 species
CAGUCGCCGCGGUAAGACAAAGGAUGCAAGCGUUAUCCGGAAUGAUUGGGCGUAAAGCGUGCGCAGGCGGUUGUGUAAGACAGGUGUGAAAUCCCCGGGCUUAACCUGGGAACUGCGCUUGUGACUGCACAGCUAGAGUAUGGCAGAGGGGGGUGGAAUUCCACGUGUAGCAGUGAAAUGCGUAGAGAUGUGGAGGAACACCGAUGGCGAAGGCAGCCCCCUGGGCCAAUACUGACGCUCAUGCACGAAAGCGUGGGGAGCAAACAGGAUUAGAUACCCCUGUAGUCCCUGUCUCUUAUAC